rnacentral:rRNA from 1 species
CCUACGGGUGGCAGCAGUGAGGAAUAUUGGUCAAUGGACGAGAGUCUGAACCAGCCAAGUCGCGUGAAGGAUGACUGCCCUAUGGGUUGUAAACUUCUUUUGUAGGGGAGUAAAACGAGGCACGUGUGCCUUUUUGCGUGUACUUUAUGAAUAAGCAUCGGCUAACUCCGUGCCAGCAGCCGCGGUAAUACGGAGGAUUCGAGCGUUAUCCGGAUUUAUUGGGUUUAAAGGGAGCGUAGGUGGGUGGUUAAGUCAGUUGUGAAAGUUUGGGGGUCAAACCUAAAAUUGCAUUUGAUACUGGAAGUCUUGAGUGCAGGUGAGGUAGGCGGAAUUCGUGGUGUAGCGGUGAAAUGCUUAGAUAUCACGAAGAACCCCGAUUGCGAAGGCAGCUUACUAACCCGCAACUGACAUUGAUGCUCGAAAGCGUGGGUAUCAAACAGGAUUAGAUACCCGGGUAGUC